UACGUAGGGUGCAAGCGUUGUCCGGAAUUAUUGGGCGUAAAGAGCUCGUAGGCGGUCUGUCGCGUCUGGUGUGAAAACUCAGGGCUUAACCCUGAGCUUGCAUCGGGUACGGGCAGACUAGAGUGCGGUAGGGGAGACUGGAAUUCCUGGUGUAGCGGUGAAAUGCGCAGAUAUCAGGAGGAACACCGGUGGCGAAGGCGGGUCUCUGGGCCGAUACUGACGCUGAGGAGCGAAAGCGUGGGGAGCGAACAGG
rnacentral:rRNA from 1 species